ACGGCCGGGCGGGCAGAGCCGCGGGGAGCGGCCGUCGCAGGCCCGUUGCCAUGGACACGGGAGGAGCGCACACAGGCUCCUCCUCCAGACCCAGGGCCGCCCGGGAGCACAGGACAGGACGCUGCGGCCCGAAGAGCCCUCUGGGGAGCCACGGCUCCCAGACAGGCGGGAGGCACCGGAUAAUGAAGACGAAUCUUCAAAUCAGUAAAGACGUGGUCACCAGCAGUGAAAUCCUGUAGUCCCUGCCUUGCCUGAGGAGCUCCAAAUAGAAGGGGAGACUGAUGGAAGGACGGCUCCCUCAAGACAGCAUGAUCCACUGACGGGUGGGGGCGAUCCAGGAGGGCUUCCUGGAGGAGGCAGAUUUUAAGAAUGGGCACUAUUCAGGCAGACAGCAAUGCUGCAGUGGGGACGUGCCAGGCAUUCCAGACGGGGUCCAGGAAAAGCAAAGGCCAAGGGGUGGGCUCCUUUGGGGUCAGGACAGCCUUGCUGGCUCAGGAGAGAGGCUCCAGCUCAGGACAUUUGGGGGACCAGGGGUGGGUGUGGCGUGGGCGCCCUCUGCACUGUUUCUGCUCAACAGACUCUUGCUUCUGGUUUACAGAAGAAAUAAAGGGCCUGUGUGCCUCCUGCCCACGCCUUAGCUGGAAUGUGUCCUGUUCUUUCUGCAUGUGUCUCAGUGUCUGUGAGCCUUUGUCUUUAUUUUACUUCAACUCUUGCUGAUGUUUUCUCUCCCUCUCUCUGCCAUGGCCUGAGUCCCUCAUCUUUGUGUUUUUGUGUCUCUCGGUGUCUGGCUCUGGGUUCCUCUCUCUAUUUUUGCUGACUUGCUCUCCUGUCUUUCUCUGCAUCUCUCUGGCCCCGUCUCUGGGUCUCCAUCUCUGUCUCUCCCUCCAGGCCACCCUGUCACAUCUCCUCAGGGCCAGGCUUUCUUGGACCCUGGGUUUGUCCCUCAGCCCCCCUCCCAGGCUGAGGGGCUCUGUGCACAGGGUUUUGGUGUGGGGUGGGCUGCCUGCUUUGCCGUUUCUCAGGGAGGGGGUCAGUCUGUGUCCAGGGCCCCUAUGCCCACCCAGAGGCAGCCCAGAGAGACACACCCUUCUUCCUGAAGGGAGAGCCCAGAACAGACUCCCCCUGCCCCUAUCUGCCCGCUCCUGGUUGCUCAGCCCCAUCCGCAAGGGCGGCAGCCACGGUGAUGGACAGGGGGCUCCAGAGAGCUGCCAGGCAGAGCGGAGCCCGCACUGUUCUCUCCCAGGCUUCACCAAGGCAGGCUGGGUAGGCGGCCCCAGUGGAUUCCCUUCACUCAGGUCCCCGAGGGCUGCUAUAUCUGGAUUGGGAGGAAUUAAGUUGUAGGUUCGCACGGGGAGACAGUGAGCAGCUGCAGAGGGAUGCUCUUUCCUGUGCACAGGCCUGGUAGGGAGUGGGUGCUCUGGGCACGUCUGCUGAACUGAGGCGGGCUCUGGGGGGCUGGGCCCACUUUCCCCUCUCAGCUCAGCUUGCAGCUGAACUCCACAAACAAGCUCGGGCUGUCUCUGGGUUUGGGCAGAUCAGAGGUGGCAGCUUUGCCCUUGAUCUCUGCAGGGUGGCUAAGGAGGGCCUCCUGCUUCUGGGAAAGAAAUCUCCCAGCCAGCAAGGGUGCCCAGACAGGCAGGAGGCUGCUGGGCGUGGGAUGGGGGCCACGGUGGACUUCUGUUCUGGGGGUGGGGUCCCUAUAUGCACGCCUUAGAGCUUCGUUUAACCCAGGGCUCCAAGGAUCAAGACAAAAUUAGUGUGAGUUUCUCCUCCAAAACACAUCCACACGAGACAGCCAGGCCUCUAUUUCCCUGAGAUUUGGGGGGAAGUGCAGUUUUCUGAACGCUGCAGGUGUUUCUCUCCCCUUCCUUGUGAGGUCACACGGUGCUAGCUGCCUGGUCUCUCGGCACCUUAGUUUUCUCUUCUGUAAAGUGGGGACAAUGGUAGUACCCCCUCCACAGGGCUGCUGGGGAUCACGUGGGAUGAGGGUGCACAGCAAUUAGCACCGCACCUGGAACGCACAGCCACGGGAUCCAUGGCGGCUGCUAUGGUGGCUGUUUUUAUUCGGCCACUCAGGACCGAAGUCUGAAGCCAGCCCCUUUCCCCUGCACAGACCAGCCGAGUGGGACCCAGCUCAGCCACCCCGGAAGACUGAUGGCCGACCCUCCAUCAGAGCAGCCACCGGGGAGCCCUCAGUGGGCUCAGGCAACUGAGCACCGUCCUGGCAUCUCUGGCCCUGCCUCUGCGGUGGGAUGGGUGACAUUCAACUCUCCAGAUGGCUGGCGGGAGUCACAGACAGGGCUCUUGGACCAUGGCUUUGCACUGGGUUGUCCACCUGAGGUCAGCCCAAGGCCUGGCUAGACUUCUGGGGGUGGUGGUGGGGAAGGACGCAGGUGGGAAGGUCAGGGCUGUGCUGGGACCGGGAGACCUGCAUUCAGACACCAGGAGGAGGCGGGUCUGCUGCUGGGAAGCCACAAACAGGAAAGCACACACAAGCCAAGCGGACUUGGAAGGGCUUCGGGCCUCUGGGACACCAGCCACCAACAAACCUGCCUCCAAGACACUAAUUAAGCCUGGAGGUUGUGAGUAUAAGCCCCGGGCAUCUCGGACCCUUUCCUGGGGACAGUAGGAGAGAGGAAGGGCCCUCACACCUGGUCCCUAUGAGCCAGGCUCUCGAGGGGCCGCCAGGCUGUGACGUGGCCUUGGUGGAACCUCCACGGAGCUCUGCAGUCACCCCUGCACCAUCCGUUGCAGAUUAUCCUUUUUUCACUCAACUACUGUGCUCCCCUGUCAAAGAUCAGGCACCUGUUGGAUAUAUUUCCCCUUUACAGAUGAGAAAACAGGCUCAGAGCUACACCAUGAAGACUGGAGUGCAGGUGCCGGCACGAAGGACAGCCGCUGCCUCCCGCUCUCCACAAGCCCCUCCUUGUGCUCCUGUGUCUCUGUGUGGAUGUGCUUGGGGGCUUCUGUUAUUGCUGGAUAAACAGAAAUCCCAGGUCCUUCCAGCUCCCUGGGGCUAGAGAAGCCACGCAGCAGAAGGGACUGUGAUAACCACGGAGAAGGGAAGGUGAUAACGAAGCCCAAGGGGCAGCCCUGGAUGCUUAUCACAAAUGCCGAGGGCGGGGGUGCCAGGAGGGUUUGAGGGGACUCGCUGGCAGCCCGUGGAAGGACCGAGAAACAUGAGGAUGGAGGGGCUGACGUGGAAACAGGGCUGGGCUUUCCAGUAUGGGCAGCCUCAGAGUGUGCACUCAGAGCUGCUUUACCGGCCCAUCAACUACCACCUGCCUGAAAGUCCUCCAGAAAAGUUUCAUUCCUUUGGAUUCGGAAUUAUAUCAAAGCUGGAAGAGACCUCACUCUCUGUUCCAGCUUCCUCCUCAUUUUACUCAUGGGGAAACUGAGAGCCAAAAGGGAACACAGACUUCUAAAAACUAAGGUUUUCCUGCCCCCGAGUUCCUGCAGGUGUUGGCGGGGCCCUGGGGGUGAUGGUGGGGGGUCACCUAUAUGCUCACAGCAGAGCAGAGAGCCACUGCGGGCAGGGUUGUGGGAUCAGGAAGAGGGACACAUAGAUGACACAUGGCCAGACCCCUGCCCCAAAAUGGCCAGGUGGAAAGAUGAGUGGGUGACGGGGGCUGGAUAUAAGAUUCCUUCUCUUCCACGGAGAAGUGUGCCCAUGCCCACUUUUCUUGCAACAGGUCUAUCCUCUCUCCACUCACUUUUCAUAGGGACGUCGAGACGAGAACAAUUUCAUUUCUUCUUAAUAACACUGCAAGGGUGAUGAUAACUGACAGAGUGUGAGAGACUACAGGGGAGGGUGGGGACUACGGCAAACCUGAGCUUGCAAGCCCUGUGCCGGGGGAAGCUGCUACUUAACAUGGUGAAUUUUUCCAGGGAC